GGAGGCCUGCGGCGGUGCUAGGGCCAAAGCGGGAGGAGGCAGGGGCGAACUGGCGGCGAGAUGGACGGAGCGAGGUCCAGGCACCGGCGCUGUGGUGGUCUAGAUCGGGAGCACGAGCAGCAGUUCGUGAGAGAGAGAGAUGCGUACAGGAGAGGGUUCGUGCGGGGAUAAGGGAGUUAUGGUGAGAUGGGAGUCGUGGGUGGGGAGGGUAGGUUCAUGGGGGCGCGUGCAUCGUGG
rnacentral:rRNA from 1 species